GCGAGCGGCGGAUGGGUGAGUAACACGUGGGGAACCUGCCCCUAAGUCUGGGAUACCAUUUGGAAACAGGUGCUAAUACCGGAUAAUAAAGCAGAUCGCAUGAUCAGCUUUUGAAAGGCGGCGUAAGCUGUCGCUAAGGGAUGGCCCCGCGGUGCAUUAGCUAGUUGGUAAGGUAACGGCUUACCAAGGCGACGAUGCAUAGCCGAGUUGAGAGACUGAUCGGCCACAUUGGGACUGAGACACGGCCCAAACUCCUACGGGAGGCAGCAGUAGGGAAUCUUCCACAAUGGACGCAAGUCUGAUGGAGCAACGCCGCGUGAGUGAAGAAGGUUUUCGGAUCGUAAAGCUCUGUUGUUGGUGAAGAAGGAUAGAGGUAGUAACUGGCCUUUAUUUGACGGUAAUCAACCAGAAAGUCACGGCUAACUACGUGCCAGCAGCCGCGGUAACACGUAGGUGGCAAGCGUUGUCCGGAUUUAUUGGGCGUAAAGCGAGCGCAGGCGGAAAAAUAAGUCUAAUGUGAAAGCCCUCGGCUUAACCGAGGAACUGCAUCGGAAACUGUUUUUCUUGAGUGCAGAAGAGGAGAGUGGAACUCCAUGUGUAGCGGUGGAAUGCGUAGAUAUAUGGAAGAACACCAGUGGCGAAGGCGGCUCUCUGGGUCUGCAACUGACGCUGAGGCUCGAAAGCCAUGGGUAGC
rnacentral:rRNA from 1 species